GGGGACCUAGCUCAGUUGAUGGAGUGUUUGCCUAGCACACACAAGCCCCUGGGUUCAAUCCCCAGCACCA
rnacentral:tRNA from 1 species